UACGUAGGGGGCUAGCGUUGUCCGGAUUUAUUGGGCGUAAAGAGCGUGUAGGCGGUUCGGUAAGUCUGUCGUGAAAUCCUGAGGCUCAACCUUGGACGUGCGAUGGAUACUGCCGGGCUAGAGGAUGGUAGAGGCGAGUGGAAUUCUCGGUGUAGCGGUGAAAUGCGCAGAUAUCGGGAGGAACACCAGUAGCGAAGGCGGCUCGCUGGGCCAUUCCUGACGCUGAGACGCGAAAGCUAGGGGAGCGAACAGG
rnacentral:rRNA from 1 species